rnacentral:rRNA from 1 species
GACGAACGCUGGCGGCGUGCUUAGCACAUGCAAGUCGAACGGAAAGGCCCUGCUUUUGUGGGGUGCUCGAGUGGCGAACGGGUGAGUAACACGUGAGUAACCUGCCCUUGACUUUGGGAUAACUUCAGGAAACUGGGGCUAAUACCGGAUAGGAGCUCCUGCUGCAUGGUGGGGGUUGGAAAGUUUCGGCGGUUGGGGAUGGACUCGCGGCUUAUCAGCUUGUUGGUGGGGUAGUGGCUUACCAAGGCUUUGACGGGUAGCCGGCCUGAGAGGGUGACCGGCCACAUUGGGACUGAGAUACGGCCCAGACUCCUACGGGAGGCAGCAGUGGGGAAUAUUGCACAAUGGGCGGAAGCCUGAUGCAGCAACGCCGCGUGCGGGAUAACGGCCUUCGGGUUGUAAACCGCUUUCGCCGGUGACGAAGCGUGAGUGACGGUAAUGGGUAAAGAAGCACCGGCUAACUACGUG